ACGCGUGAGAAUCUGCCUUCAGGAUGGGGACAACAGUGGGAAAUCGCUGCUAAAACCCAAUGUGCCGAGAGGUGAAAUAUUAAUAGCCUGAAGAGGAGCUCGCGUCCGAUUAGUUAGUUGGUGGUGUAAGAGACUACCAAGGCAGCGAUCGGUAGCUGGUCUGAGAGGAUGAGCAGCCACACUGGGACUGAGACACGGCCCAGACUCCUACGGGAGGCAGCAGUGGGGAAUUUUCCGCAAUGGGCGAAAGCCUGACGGAGCAAUACCGCGUGAGGGAGGAAGGCUUUUGGGUUGUAAACCUCUUUUAUUAAGGAAGAAGAAAGUGACGGUACUUAAAGAAUCAGCAUCGGCUAACUCCGUGCCAGCAGCCGCGGUAAUACGGAGGAUGCAAGCGUUAUCCGGAAUUAUUGGGCGUAAAGCGUCCGCAGGUGGUUAAUCAAGUCUGCUGUUAAAGACAGAAGCUCAACUUCUGGCAAGCAGUGGAAACUGUAUAACUAGAGUACGGUAGGGGUUGAGGGAAUUCCCAGUGUAGCGGUGAAAUGCGUAGAUAUUGGGAAGAACACCAGUGGCGAAGGCGCUCAACUGGGCCGUAACUGAC
rnacentral:rRNA from 1 species